AUUAUUAUGUAUAAUGAUGAAAUUAGUAAACCUAGUAUGUUUCAAAUUUAAAUCCAUGUCAUCUCUUGUAUUUGAGCAUAACAGAUAAAACUCACCAUAUAAAAAGACGAAGAAAAAAAGACAAGGAUGAUGGUCAGCCGUGUUCUGCUUUUGCUGUUUGGGGUUUGCCUGGUCUUCAGCCAGAGCUAUGCCGGUUCGAUUAGAGACAAUUCGGAGAUCGCUGAUGAUCAAACAUAUCCGGGGUGGUACAUGCAAACUGAUCGAGUGCUCGUGUCAGAUGGCGCUUCCUCAUGUCGCUUGACCAAUGGCAGUACACUGUUAUUGUUUGGAAUCGUUACUGCUGCUCUUCUGUUUGUAAAGGGAUGAUGGCAUUCAGCAAACGUGCGUGACGGUGUAUUUUAAACAAACAUUUCAAUUAAAGAUGAUUUAAAACUUAA